AAUAAAAUUAAUUUCUAUACACUAAAAUCAUAUUUUUUAUUUUCGAAUAAAUAUAUCUUAAAAUAAGAAAUCUAAAUAAAGAAAUUUUUGUAAAUUAAUAUCUCUAUAAAUUAAUAAAAUUUCAAAGUUCUAACAUUAUUAAUUUAUUGAGAUUCUACUGUACUUUCCAAAUCUUCAUGUAUCUAUCUAUCUAUCUAUCUAUCUAUAUAUAUAAAUGAGUGUUUUACUCACUUCUGAAGCUGCCACAUAGGAUUCUAGGUCAGAAAAUCAGCUCUUGUGAGCACAACACCUGUCCACCUUAUAAAACGCUACGUUUCAUUUAUUUCUUUCUCGAAAUCUGAUGGGCCUGGCUUCUUAUUUUGUCUGAGCUUUAGCUUUAUUGAGCCCAUACCACUAUAAGCGUAAUAUGAUGCGUACGAAACGCGGCGUUUCUUAUUUUGUCGUUUCAUCGAUCUCCUUUCUCCGCCGACCGCCUUAGGAGAUUAUAGGGUUUCCAUCAAUUCAUUCGUCUCCUUUCUACUGAACGGAUUCAUUACUAUUAACCUCUGGCCUUCACUGUCUUCUCAUCUACCCUUGCUCGCAAAUCUCCCAUUCGAAGCGGUUUCUCUGUUAUUUAACACCAUCCUUCCAUCAUGGAUCCCCACUACGUAUUCAUUAAUUUGCCUCACACAACUCCUCUGCUAAUCCCAAUUUCUAAUACUAUAAAUAGGGAUGCAGAGCAAUUGAAGCCUGGUCAUUUUUAGGGAGGCAAUUUUACCCGGUUAGUUUGGUUUUGGGAGGCAGGGAGUGUGAAAAAGGAGAGGAGCUCAUGUGGCCUAACAUGUCGCUGCUUGAUGAAAAGACUACUGAAACAGAUGAUCUAGAAAGGAGAUUGGCUUGCUAGACUAAUCGGAGAAACAUGACCGUAUUUGUUGGUGACCCAUAUGCAAUAAAUGAAACAGCUACCUUUUCUGAGAAAUCAUUAUAAUGUAUACACUGAUGUAACAAAUGAGUUAAAACUGGAUACACUUUGUUUUUGUAUCAUCUUCAACCUUGCAAGUAAAUUUCGUACACUGGUCUAAA